GACGAACGCUGGCGGCGUGCCUAAUACAUGCCAGUAGAACGCUGAAGAGUGGAGCUUGCUCUUCUUGGAUGAGUUGCGAACGGGUUAGUAACGCGUAGGUAACCUGCCUUGUAGCGGGGGAUAACUAUUUGAAACGAUAGCUAAUACCGCAUAACAAUGGAUGACACAUGUCAUUUAUUUGAAAGGGGCAAUUGCUCCACUACAAGAUGGACCUGCGUUGUAUUAGCUAGUAGGUGAGGUAAUGGCUCACCUAGGCGGCGAUACAUAGCCAGCCUGAGAGGGUGGUUCGCCACACUGGGACCGAGGAAAGGGCCAGAAUCCCACGGGAGGCAGCAGGAGGGAAACUUCGGCAAAGGGGGCAACGCUGACCGAGGAACGCCGCGGGAGAGAAGAAGGUUUUCGGAGCGUAAAGCUCUGUUGUAAGGCAAGAAAGGGUGUGAGAGUGGAAAGUACACGCUGUGACGGUAGCGUACCAGAAAGGGACGGCUAACUACGUG
rnacentral:rRNA from 1 species